rnacentral:misc_RNA from 1 species
UUAAGUUCAGCGGGUAGUCCCACCUGAUUCGAGAUCAAAGUUGAAAAUGUGCACACUGGGUGCGAUUAGAAGCGACUCAAGGUAGAACUGGCCAUUCGCACUUAAGCAAAUGUCCUUGACGGUCAUAGAUAAUUAUCACGUCAAGUAGAACCAAUCCCACAAAUCGAGGGUCAGCUAAUGCUUUUAAGACCAACCGUUCC